rnacentral:rRNA from 1 species
UAGCCGUAAACAAUACUCGCUAGGUGUCGGCCACGGUGCGACCGUUGUCGGUGCCGUAGGGAAGCCGUGAAGCGAGCCACCUGGGAAGUACGGCCGCAAGGCUGAAACUUAAAGGAAUUGGCGGGGGAGCACAACAACGGGUGGAGCUUGCGGUUUAAUUGGAUUCAACGCCGGAAAUCUUACCGGGACCGACAGCAACAUGAAGGCCAAGCUGAAGACUUUGCCGGAUUAGCUGAGAGGUGGUGCAUGGCGUAGUCGUGU